UUGAGUAUUCGCAUAUAUGUGAUGCAAUUCCUGUAAUCGCUCGGAGUGCAAGCUCAAGUCUUUGGUAAAAGCUAAUAUGUCUUUGGAAUUUGGGAACAAGUUUUGCCAACUUAGUAAUGAAAUGUCCAAUAGAUAAAAUCUCUUCGUUUAUCUGGGAUUUCUUUGGAGGGUGAAGAUGAAAGAAUCCCUAUCAUAGACCUUUACCCUGGUGCUAAAGAGAAACCACUGUGAUUAAGUCAACGCCUUAGGGAAGUUGAAAUAAAAAAUUUCUCUUGGUAGCAACACGAGUUUGAGAUCGUAAGAUAUCUUUUGCAGCAUGGGGCCAUGUUACAGAAGAUGUCCAUACAUGCUUCAGGAACAAUAAUGCCAAAGAAAUGGUCCUCAUCUGCCCACAAGAAGAUGAUGAAACUCUCAAGUACCAAGAGAAACCAAACUACUUUUGAAAGGAAUGGACUCAAGAAACCAAAGCUUCCUCUAGUUGGUGAUCCUUCAUCCGGUGAAGAAUUUGGGCAAAAAUGUGCAUGAUAUAUAGCUAUUUCAGCUCCAUCAACAUCACUAUAGGUAAAAGAUCAAAUUGUUUUAAUUUAUUGUGCUUAUUUAGAAGUUUUUUAAGUACCGUAUCUUGUUGAUCAUCUUAAUACUUGUCAUAUUACCAUUGAAGGCCUUCACAGUAGCAUGUGGCCAAGAUAUAGGUGUUAGAUUGCUUGUA